CGGCAACAGCCCAAAACUCAAAGGACUUGGCGGUGCUUUAUAUCCACCUAGAGGAGCCUGUUCUAUAAUCGAUAAACCCCGAUAAACCUCACCAAUCCUUGCUAAUUCAGUCUAUAUACCGCCAUCUUCAGCAAACCCUAAAAAGGAAUAAAAGUAAGCUUAAUCAUAUUACAUAAAGACGUUAGGUCAAGGUGUAACCUAUGGAAUGGGAAGAAAUGGGCUACAUUUUCUAUCUCUAGAA
rnacentral:rRNA from 1 species